AGAGUUUGAUCAUGGCUCAGAUUGAACGCUGGCGGCAUGCCUUACACAUGCAAGUCGAACGGCAGCGCGAGGAGCUUGCUCCUUGGCGGCGAGUGGCGGACGGGUGAGUAGCGCAUAGGAACGUGUCCGUAGGUGGGGGACAACUCCAAGAAAUUGGGGCUAAUACCGCAUGAUCUCUUAGGAGCAAAGCGGGGGACCCUCGGGCCUCGCGCCUACGGAGCGGCCUAUGUCCGAUUAGCUUGUUGGAGGGGUAACGGCCCACCAAGGCGACGAUCGGUAACUGGUCUGAGAGGAUGGCCAGUCACACCGGAACUGAGACACGGUCCGGACUCCUACGGGAGGCAGCAGUGGGGAAUAUUGGACAAUGGGGGAAACCCUGAUCCAGCAAUGCCGCGUGAGUGAAGAAGGCCUUCGGGUUGUAAAGCUCUUUCGUGGGGGAAGAAAAGGCGCGGGCUAAUACCCUUUGCGCCCA
rnacentral:rRNA from 1 species